UACGUAGGUGGCAAGCGUUGUCCGGAUUUACUGGGCGUAAAGAGCGCGCAGGCGGUCGUUCAAGUCGCGUGUGAAAGCCCCCGGCUCAACUGGGGAGGGUCACGCGAUACUGAUCGACUCGAAGGCAGGAGAGGGUAGUGGAAUUCCCGGUGUAGUGGUGAAAUGCGUAGAUAUCGGGAGGAACACCAGUGGCGAAGGCGAAUCUCUGGACAGUUACUGACACUGAGGCACGAAGGCCAGGGGAGCAAACGGG
rnacentral:rRNA from 1 species